rnacentral:rRNA from 1 species
AUACUUUGAUGAGAGUGGCGCACGGGUGCGUAACGCGUAUGCAACCUACCUUUAACAGGGGAAUAGCCCCGAGAAAUCGGGAUUAAUACUCCGUAACAUUGCGGUGUGGCAUCACACUGCACUUAAAGCUGAGGCGGUUAAAGAUGGGCAUGCGUGACAUUAGCUAGUUGGUGAGGUAACGGCUCACCAAGGCAACGAUGUCUAGGGGUCCUGAGAGGGUUAUCCCCCACACUGGUACUGAGACACGGACCAGACUCCUACGGGAGGCAGCAGUAAGGAAUAUUGGUCAAUGGGCGCAAGCCUGAACCAGCCAUGCCGCGUGCAGGAAGACGGCCCUAUGGGUUGUAAACUGCUUUUGUCAGGGAAUAAACCCCCGCUCGUGAGCGGGGCUGAAGGUACCUGAAGAAUAAGCAUCGGCUAACUCCGUGCCAGCAGCCGCGGUAAUACGGAGGAUGCAAGCGUUAUCCGGAUUCAUUGGGUUUAAAGGGUGCGCAGGCGGAUUGGUAAGUCAGGGGUGAAAUCCCACAGCUCAACUGUGGAACUGCCUUUGAUACUGUCAGUCUAGAGUAUAGUUGAAGUUGGCGGAAUGUGUCAUGUAGCGGUGAAAUGCUUAGAUAUGACACAGAACACCGAUCGCGAAGGCAGCUAGCUAAGCUAUAACUGACGCUCAUGCACGAAAGCGUGGGGAUCAAACAGGAUUAGAUACCCUGGUAGUCCACGCUGUAAACGAUGAUUACUCGAUGUUGGCGAUACACAGUCAGCGUCUGAGCGAAAGCAAUAAGUAAUCCACCUGGGGAGUA